AGAGUGAACGCUGGCGGUAGGCCUAACACAUGCAAGUCGAACGGCAGCACAGUGGUAGCAAUACCAUGGGUGGCGAGUGGCGGACGGGUGAGGAAUACAUCGGAAUCUACCUUUUCGUGGGGGAUAACGUAGGGAAACUUACGCUAAUACCGCAUACGCCCUUUGGGGGAAAGCCGGGGAUCGCAAGACCUGGCGCGGAUAGAUGAGCCGAUGUCGGAUUAGCUAGUUGGUGAGGUAAUGGCUCACCAAGGCGACGAUCCGUAGCUGGUCUGAGAGGAUGAUCAGCCACACUGGAACUGAGACACCGGUCCAGACCUCCGUACGGGAGCAGCAGGUGGGG
rnacentral:rRNA from 1 species